AGCAUUUUGGUGACGUGUAUUCCUGAUUUCAAGUAGAUCUACAGUAAUAUAAAAGUAGGAAAUAACAGAAGUUCAUAAUAGAAAAAGAAAGCGGGGCAAGCCGAGAAAGAGUCGGAUGGAAGCUGCUGAAGCCAUAUGCGCAUAUCACGUUGCGCAGUCAGGUAGCAGGAUCGCAGAAAGCAGCGGGAGCUGGCUUUUAACCAGAGAAAAUAAGACUUCAGAGAUAUUUAGACUUCUAAAAAUGAAAUAUCAAAAACGCGUGAAGUUAUAAAAUAUUGAUGUCUAAACGUAUUAUGAGGUAUUUUGUGAGAAAAGAGAAAGAAAACGACGCGUGACGACUCACCUGUUCGAUACUGUUGUCAACGAGUAUAGGAUUGCCUUUGAUGUUUGUCACUUCUCCCUCAGUAUCAAAGAUCGAUGUCCUCCACUUCUCUGCCGAUUCGUUUGUCCACCUCGAAGCCAGAGUGUCCCAGAGCGA